UACGAAGGGGGCUAGCGUUGCUCGGAAUCACUGGGCGUAAAGCGCACGUAGGCGGCCAACUAAGUCAGACGUGAAAUCCCUCGGCUUAACCGGGGAACUGCAUCUGAUACUGGAUGGCUUGAGUUCGGGAGAGGGAUGCGGAAUUCCAGGUGUAGCGGUGAAAUGCGUAGAUAUCUGGAGGAACACCGGUGGCGAAGGCGGCAUCCUGGACCGACACUGACGCUGAGGAGCGAAAGCCAGGGGAGCAAACGGG
rnacentral:rRNA from 1 species